CAAAAUGGGUUUUUAAAAAUAGCCAGAAGUUAUCCAUGGGGAGGCUUCACUUUCGGAGAGGGCUCAGCUGUAGUCCAUUUGUGCUUCGUGGUGCCGUCCCCUUCCCAAAGCAGGUCCUUAAGUUCAGUGGAACCACCCUUCCAGGCCUGGCCUGCGCUGCUGUGGUCCCUGAUCAUCGGCGUCUGACCCACAGUCUGCGGCUCUGUUCUCACGCAGGUGGAGAACUCCACGCUGAGCUCCCAGAGCGCCGCGCUGGCUGCGCAGUACACACUGCUCCAGAGCCAGCACACGGCCAAGGAGACGGAGCACGAAGGCCUGCAGAGGCAGCAGGAGCAGCUGGCGGCCGCCUACGAGGCCCUGCUCCAGGACCACGAGCACCUGAGCACGCUGCACGAGCGCCAGUCCUCGGAGUACGAGGCCCUCAUCCGCCAGCACAGCUGCCUGAAGACACUGCACCGGAACCUGGAGCUGGAGCACAAGGAGCUCAGGGAGAGGCACGGCGACAUGCUGAAACACAGGGCGGAGCUGGACGAGCUGGAGAAGGUCCUGACUGCCGAGCGUGAGGCGCUGCAGCAGGAGCAGAGGACGAACGCUGUCACCAUGGGCGAGAACCAGAGGCUGCGGGCGGAGCUGGACAGGGUCAAUUUCCUGCACCAGCAGCUGAAGGGGGAGUGUGAAGAGCUGCACGCCCACACCAAGGAGCUGAAAACCUCGCUGAACACCUCGCAGCUGGAGCUGAACCGCUGGCAGGCGCGCUUUGACGAGCUGAAGGAGCAGCACCAGACCAUGGACAUCUCGCUGACCAAGCUGGACAACCACUGCGAGCUGCUCUCCCGCCUCAAGGGGAACUUGGAGGAGGAGAAUCAUCACCUCCUGAGCCAGAUCCAGCUGCUGAACCAACAGAACCAAAUGCUCCUAGAGCAGAACCUGGAGAACAAGGAGCAGUACCAUGAGGAACAGAAGCAGUACAUAGACAAAUUAAACGCCUUAAGGAGACAUAAGGAAAAACUGGAAGAGAAAAUCAUGGAUCAGUACAAGUUCUAUGAUCCCGCUCCAAAGAAGAAGAACCACUGGAUUGGAGCCAAAGCCUUAGUGAAAUUCAUCAAACCAAAGAAAGAGGGUUCCAGAGAACGAUUAAAGUCAACCGCAGACAGCCCUUCCUGGCAGUCUGAGUCCGCAGACCCUGCCUCGCCGUCAGCCUCUCAGUCCCUCAGAUCACAGCCGGAGAACCCCAGCAACCCCCCACUGGCCUCACAUGGGGCCGAAGAGUGUGAUGCUCACAACGGGCCUUUGGGGAAAGGCCCUGGGGACCUAAAACCAAAGCGAGGGUCCCCACAUGGAAGCAGCCUGGACCACAUGGAGGCCUCUGCUGACCCAGCCAUAAAGCCUUGGCCCUCAGAGCUGGGCUCCCGGACCUGUUCAGCCUCAGCGAUCACAGCACCCACCUCCAGCUCCACCCCUGUCCCCCGGCACCCAGGUCGCACCAAAGGCUACAGUUCGGACGACAACCUCUGCGAGCCGCCCCUGGAGCUCGAGGGCGCCCAGCGCAGGCAGCACGUGUCUCGGCCGAGCAGCUUGGAGAGCAGCAGAAACACAUCCAGCAACAGCUCGCCUCUGAGCCUCAAAGGUUCCUCCGACCAGCUCCACGGCUGCUCCGAGGGCUUCAGCAGUGAAGACCUGAUCCCUAGCAGGGACCCCAACACCCUGGGACGCAGCGCCCUCAGCCGCCAUGAAUACCUCCCGCCUCGGAAUGGGCCUGUGCCCCAGGAGGCUGCCCCGAAGAGAGGCUCGGCCACAGCCCACCCUGGGGUGCGGCCCUGCUCGGCCUCCCCCAGCAGCGAGAUGGUGACCUUGGAGGAGUUCCUGGAGGAGAGUAACCGCAGCUCCCCAGCCCAUGACACUCCCAGCUGCUGCCGGGAUGACCUGCUCGGUGACUACUUCCGAAAGGCCAACGACCCCCCGGCCAUUGGAGGCCCACCAGGCCCUCCUGCCAGGAAAGAGGGAGCCAAGAUGCCCACCAGCUUUGUGGCCCCCACCAUCAAGAUGGCCAUCAACACCUCCGAGGGGAGGCAGCUAAAGCCUGGGCAUUAUGUGAAGCCGAACUUCAGGCCUGCUGAAGCAGAGGUCCCAGCAGGAGCCUCCCCGAGACAGGUCCAACCUCCCCAGAGCCUGUCUCUGGGCAGAGCCCGGCAAGCCACAAUGUCCCCCGCUUCCCAUGCCCCUGCCGGCCGGAGUGCGUCCCUGAGCCGCGCCUACAGCCUGGCCUCUGCCGACCUUCUCCGGGCCAGUGGGCCAGAGGCCUGUAGACAAGAAUCCCCUCAGAAACUGGGGGAUCCUGAGGCCUCGGGGGCCAGAGAGACAGGCAGCCGCAGCCUGCAGAGCCCUGCACCUCCCAGCUCCCACAGCCUGGGACGGGAGCGGACCCUACAGGCAGGCAAGGCUGAUGGCUCCUGCCAAGGUCCAGGGCCCCGCAGCCGGCCAUCAGACACCAGACGCUUCUCACUGGCUCCCCCAAAGGAGGAGAGGCUGGCACCCCUGCAGCAGUCCGCCACGGUCCCAGCCAUUGCCACCACUGCAGGCGGCAGCGGCAGCAGCUCCCAGCUCCAGCACUUCCCACCUGCUGCAGCCGCAGCCUCCAGGACCAAGCCCAAAACGCCUCCACACUCAGGGGAGGUAGCCACCAUUGCCCCUGUCCGCUCAGGGCUCAGCCUCUCAGAGGGAGACAAGAACCUGGGACAGGGCCACACCGAGGGGCUCCUGGCUAAGAGCCCUGGCAGGUCACCUGACUUGGCUCCCCAUGCCAGCCGGGGCCCCGAGGAUUUCAGCCGUGGAGGCAGCUCAAAGAGCACCCCAGCAUCCCCGGAGCCAGGCGGGGACCAGCAGACAGUGUGAUGGAAACACUGUGCCAAGUCCUGAGAGGAACUCGCUCCCAGGUGUGUGUCGCAUCUUCUGUGUCUACAGCUUCUAGCAGCUGGUAUCUUUUGAACAAAUCCGCUUAGCAUGGGGACCGCUUAGAAUGCAAUGAUAAAACCCUCUUACCCCAAAGCAGACACUAUUUGAGUGGGCCCUGGUAGAACACUCAUUUGCAACCUGUUGACCUCCAUUAAGACAUACAUGUGGGUACACACACACCAGGCUCACAGGGUGGGUUCACCUGGUGGCUCUGGAAACCCCACUCCCUCCUGAAAGCCAUUAGAUCUCAAGGGAAGCCCAGCCUUGCCAAACUACCAAACUCCGGAGGGCCGUGGGCAGAGCUCAUCGUGAGCUGACUGUUAAAAACCUAGGAGUAUUACCAUCCUGUCCCUGGGGUCCAAACUCCCCAAGGUGCCUUCAAGGCCCAUUGUGGGUGGCCUUGGGCACUCACCUCCCUCCUAGCUGGCUCCUGGCCUCUGCAUGGUGGCCUCUGGGGUCCUCCAUAGCCUUCUCUGUGUCACUUUUCUACAAACACUGGAUCUGCCAGGCCUGGGGCGUGAGGUGGAGUGAUGCCCCAACCCCGGGCCGGCGAGUGUGGCGCACACAGGGGAGGCCUGUGCAUAGCAAGGCGCACACUUGGCUUGUGACGUGGCUUAGCGCCCAGCUUCCCCUGUCCCAGAUGGGAUGUUGAUUUAUUUCUGAAUAGCUCUGGAGUAGAAACCAAAUUUCUUUUUAAUAUAUUACUUAUGUAUGUAUACACUGGUAAAAUAUAUAUACCUGGGGGUCUAUUUAUGUUCCAGUUUAGAGUCAUUGUUUUCUGUCAGGAAUCUUACCUGCUGCUCAGUGUAUUUGGUCAGAUCCCUGACACAUUUAGUUUCCUAUCAUAAAGGUGCUUUCCCUGGGGUGGACUAAACCUAUUGACUUUUUCUUAAAAGAUUAUUUUUCCCUUUGGAUUUAAUGGGCUGAGGAAGAAAUGAGACUUGAAUGUUAACAAGAUCCAUUGUAGGAGUAUUUGGGGUUGUGUGUUAAAUAGCCAUUUGUUCUGGAACACAAGGGCAGGGUUGUAAUAAAACAGAACGGAAUAGAAGUGAGUCCUGGCUUUCCUCACUGUACAUUAUUGGCAGCAUUGAACAGGCUGCAGAGAGCUCAGGCUCCCUGCUUGGGCACCCGGGUCUCCUCCUCGGCCUUGGAGUCCUUGGCUGGCUUUGCCAGUGGGUACCUGGAGCUGCCCCACAACUGACCAUGACAAACGUGAGGAGCAAAAUUUCCUAUACAAAUCCCCACCUCCACCCUGUCCACUCCAUGUUGGGUUUAAGUCGGCAUAAACCAAAUCUGUCCCCCUCACUCCCACACUGGGAAUUGAACCCAGGGCUUCGCACAUUCAUGGCAAGCCAGGCAAGGGCUCUGCCACUGAGCUACGCCCCCAGCCCAACUGAAACCCUUUAGAACAUGGAGUUUGCCUCCUGUUGGGACAGCUCGGCUUGAUUUUCCAAAGGUUCCUCAAGACCUUGGGGCCCUCCGGCAAGAGAGCUUCUGCUGAAGUGCCCAGUGGGCCACAUGUCACCAAUCCAAGGCAGUUUUACCCAUUGUGGCACUCGCCAGUGUGUUCACCCUAAAUGACCUUCCUUUUUGGAAGCACGCUCCCUGGGCCUCCACAGUAGCCACACCCAGCCUCUGAAAGCUUCACCUGGAGACACACCCAGCCCUCUCAGCAACCCUCUCCUCCUGGACAAGCUUGUGCACAUGGACACCUCUAAUUACUGACUUCCCAGAAGGCUCCAAACCACCAGCCCCAGCCUCUCUGCAGCUGCACAUCUGUGUGUGUGUCCACCUUGGAUGUCCCACAGUUACCUCCAACUCCAAAUGUCCAACACCCUCCCAAAGUUGGGCCCCCAUCACCCUUACCACCCCUACGCUGAUACUGUGGACAUUUGACAUCUCCCUCUGUCUUCCCGGUGCCCGUCUAUGACUCCAUCAGCUGCUUUCAACUCUGAAACCACAGCCAAUCCCAGGAGAUGACAGCACCGUGGGUCACUGGCCUGAGGCACCAGAUCACAGCCCCCCUUGAGUCUCAGACCUCACCCUGUGCAUUGGGAUGAUGUGUGGGUGUCUGUUAAGUGCCCAAGUGGUGAUAGAUAUUCACGCCCACAUGUCAGGUAAAAUCUGGCUGCUGAAAGAGUUGAGAUCAUCUGUAGACCCAAAGGGGCUCCCGUAGUGAGAACAUUAGAAAACUGAGAAGAGCAGGGCAUACAGUUUAUCAUCCUGGCCCUUGGGGGAGAUCCAUAUAAAUUCUAUUGAUGUAAGGGCUGUGUAACAAUGUACAUUGUACAGUAAUACAUUUCAUCGUAAAAUCAAUACAACCCAUUGAUUCUCACAAGCCCAUUAAUUUCUGCCACCCUUUCAUAUCUGGAACUAAUCUAUCCAUGUAACCUUCGCAUGACAAAUGACCGCAGCCCCAGCAUGAACGUUGGUUAAUGUUUUAGGGGAACAAGUCAAAGACCUGAGUCAGACUUCAUUCAUUGAUGAUAUGACUUGACUUUGCUGAAUCAAGUAGUUUCUGAAGGCGGGACACAUGUACCCUCAGUUUGUUGUGCCAUUCACACUGAAAUUCCCUCAGAUAUGUGUUUUAUUUACAAUUGAGAUACAACUCAUAUUCCAGAAUAUUUGCCCAACCCACUUUUAAACUUAUGAUACUAACACUUUCUCUACUGCUGUCUUAAGUCUAGAGACUUGAAAGCAUAAAUCAAGCCCUGGAUGUAACGUUUGCCCAUUUCUGUGGUGUAAAUAAAUACCUUGCACUGCUGGCUUCCAGCUGCCAGAGUGAAAUCACUUAGCUCAUGGUGGGGUGAACCAUAUAUAACCUCCCCACCAUCCAGAUGUGAUGGGGUAAGUAACCCAAAGGCAUAGGUACUAAUAAAAUAGAAGCGUUGAGUAUUUCAGUAUGACCUUUUCUUUUUCUUUUUCUUUCUUUUUUUUUUUUUUUUUUUUUUUUGGUCUUUUUGAGACGGUCUCACUAUGCAGUUCAGGCUGGCCUUGAGCUCACUUUGUAGCCGAGGCGGGCCCCGAACUUGCACUGAUCCUCCUGCCUCAGCCUCCUGAGUGCUGGGUUUACAGACAUGUGCCACCACACCCAGCGACCUUUCCUUUUAGUAAGUUAUUUGCUUACAGGUUUACAUAAGUUCCUUUUUAAUAACGGUCCUGUAAAUAACUGGCUUGAAAAAAUUCCUGGAAAUUCACCAGUCUGCUCUCACAAGUCAGAGCCCCCCACUGGGGGGAAACAGAAGAGAUGGCCUAGGAAAGAGGGAGAUAAGGCAAGCAAGGUCAGCUGUGGCACUCUUACCAAGCAGCUGCGCUAACCCGAGGUGGGAUGGGGAGAUGUGCGGAUGCAGCGGUGCCUUAGCUUUCCCCUCACCUCUGCUCUCCCAGCAUGGCCAGCAGAGGGGUGGGACGAAGCGACCAGAUUCUAGGUGUCCAAUAAUGCAGGCUGGGGGUGUCACGGGUGGAGCAUCUCACUUCGGUCAUGCUUCUCUGCCACACUGGGCACACGGUGACGUUGCCACCUGGGCUGUGUGGAGGCUGGGAAGCGGUCUCCAGCUUCUCACACUCACCCAACCCCCCUUAGCCUUCUCCAGGGACCAGGGCCAAAAGUGUAGUAGGGCAACGGGCUCCACCUGGGAGUGGGCAGCCAGCGAUCUGCCACAGCCCAAGGGCGCGGGGUGGGGGUGGGGGAGCGCGGGGGGGGUGGUCCCCGCAGCCUGGGAUGAAGCCUGGGGUGGGAGGGAGUCGUGCAGAGCUCAGAAAUGUCCUCCUCUUUCCAAGCUCGGCCUUCUGGCUCAGCCCAGAGAUCAAGUUCAUCCAUCGUACCUCAGUCUGAGCUGGCAGAGGCAAAAUCAGCCACCUGCUCUCCACCGACCGCCCCACGGGGAGACCGCAAAAGGGGCGGGAAAGGGUUCCCAGCCUUGGGACCCUCGGGGCUCCUGCGAGCUCCUGGCGCGCGGAAAACAGCCCAGGGUAGCCUUUCCCGAGGCCGCGCCCGCCCCGGGCCCUUGCGGGACAGGGUGGGGGCGGGGGUGGGGGCGGGGGUGGCCUGCACCGCCCGCCCGGAUGACCUGCUCUCCCUGGCGUCCGCGCACCGGUGAGGAUCUUGCCUCCGCCUCCCGCAGCUCGGGCGGGCCGAGCGGAGCCCAGCGCGGCGCCGGCCCUGGCACCAGGCCCCCGAGACCACGGAGAGCGGCGGGCGUGCGCACCCCGAGCCAG
rnacentral:lncRNA from 1 species